rnacentral:rRNA from 1 species
ACGCCUAGGCCACGCUUCUAGGCGCCGCCCAAGGAUGGGGCCGCGACCGAUCAGGUUGUUGGUGAGGUAACGGCCUACCAAGCCUUUUACCGGUACGGGCCGUGAGAGCGGGAGCCCGGAGAUGGGCACUGAGACAAGGGCCCAGGUCCUACGGGGCGCAGCAGUCGCGCAAACUUUGCAAUACACGAAAGUGUGACAGGGCUAUCCCGAGUGCCGUCCGCUGAGGAUGGCUUUUCCCCAGUGUAGAUAGCUGGGGGAAUAAGGAGAGGGCAAGUCUGGUGUCAGCCGCCGCGGUAAUACCAGCUCUCCGAGUGGUGGGGACGUUUAUUGGGCCUGAAGCAUCCGUAGCCAGCUGAGCAAGUCCCCAGUUAAAUCCAGCGAUUUAAUCGUUGGACUGCUGGGGAUACUGUCCGGCUAGGGGGUGGGAGAGGCCGACGGUAUUCCCGGGGUAGGGGUGAAAUCCUAUAAUCCCGGGAGGACCACCAGUGGCGAAGGCUGUUGGCUAGAACAUGCCCGACGGUGAGGGAUGAAAGCUGGGGGAGCGAACCGGAUUAGAUACCCGGGUAGUCCCAGCUGUAAACGAUGCAGGCUAGGUGUUAGGGCGGCCACGUGCCGCUCUAGUGCCGCAGGGAAGC